UACAGAGGGGGCAAGCGUUAUUCGGAAUUAUUGGGCGUAAAGAGCUCGUAGGCGGCUUGUUGCGUCGUCCGUGAAAACUUGUGGCUUAACCACAGGCUGGCGGUCGAUACGGGCAGGCUAGAGUUCGGUAGGGGAGAUCGGAAUUCCUGGUGUAGCGGUGAAAUGCGCAGAUAUCAGGAGGAACACCGGUGGCGAAGGCGGAUCUCUGGGCCGAUACUGACGCUGAGGAGCGAAAGCGUGGGGAGCGAACAGG
rnacentral:rRNA from 1 species